rnacentral:lncRNA from 10 species
AUUUUGUUGUUCAUUCACCCUUUACUAUUUAUUAAUUCAGUGGUAGUGUGGCAGGCUCUGCAAAUUCAGAGAUGAAUAAGACAAAAAUUACUCUUUAUGGCUUUUGCAGCCUCGUAUGUAAAAGACUGACAAUAAGCUAGAAAAUAAUUGAGAAAUAUAACUACUAUAUUAAUAAUAGGAAAAAAAUUGUGAAGUGAUAAAUUGGGGAGGAACUGGAUAAUCUCACUAGAUAUAGGGUGAGGUGACCAAGGAAGAGCUUUCUAAGGGGGUAAUAGGCAAGCUGCGACCAGGAGAAUGGGAAAGAGCCAUACAUACAAAGUGCUAUGGAAAUACUUUUCCAGGCAAGAGAAAUAAGUGCAUAAGGACUGCAAGGUGGAAAGAAGUAUGGUGUGUUGAAGGUCAUCAGUGGAGCCAGAAGCCAGUAAGUGAAGGGACAAAUGAUACAAGGCUGAAGAGGAAGGCUGGAGCAGAUGUUGCAGCCCAUAGUCCUAAUAUAGCCAGUCCCAUGUUCAUUCUGAGAUCAAUGGGAACCUAUUAAACAAUUAUACAUUUAUUUACCCACUCUUUCAGGGACUUACAUGUUUAUACAAUCUGCUUUUUAGCUUUGAAUUAAUUCAUAUUUAAUUACUAUUCAGUAAACAUUACAGAAUUCCUGUUACGUACCUAGCAAGAAUAUAAGAAGAAAAAUACAUCAUCUUUUCCAUUAGAAAUUUAAUAUCUAGAUUGAGUUAUCAUAAAGCAAUAAAAAGAUGACAUAAUAUGCCCAUAAAUAAAUUCAAAGAAUGCUUACCAAAAAAUAGAGCCUUUACACUUAUUUGCUGCCUCUUCAGUACCCUCAUUUGAUUUCUUAGUUCUUGCCCUUUGCAAUCAUAAUCAGUUGUCUAGUUCAAUACUGUGAUGUCAUCCUAUACUAUAGUUUCAAACUGGGAUAAGGAAACAGAGAGGAAGAAGAGAAUCUGUUUCAUUAGUCUAGAGACAGUAACAACUACCCCCACUAUUACAACAGCACUAGAAUGUAGUAGUCAGCUCUCCAAGUUGGGGUCCACCAUAUAAUGCAAAGCUUUUGGGUGGAAAUAAUUUAGGUUACCAGAAAAAAAAAGAUAUUUAUAUAAUUUCCAGCAACCUUUCAAUACAUGGAGUUAUUAAUUUUUUAAAAAAUAAAAGGUUUAUUUUUGAGGCAGCAAAUCAAUAUUUUAGGAACUGAGAAGCCAAAUAUCAGAAACAUUUAAACACAUGGAAAUUAACAUUUAUCUAGAUUAAAUGGCAGUUGAUAUGCCAAUCUCAUAUGAUAAAAAAAUGCACAACGUUAAGAGGGACAUUUACAUACUUUUAUAAUAUUUUAGCACUGUUGUUUCAAUAAUGUAAUGAGCAAAAUGAAUUUAAGUGUGGGAAAUGGUAAUGUUUCUUUUAAAUGCAAAAUCAAAUCACCUUCAAUAAUAUUGGAAAAAGAACUGAUUCCUUGUGUACAAGGCAUUCCUAGGGAUUUUUUUUUUUUACCUAAUUUCAUAUAUGACAUUUGAAAAUGACUUAUUUAAUGAAUAGGCAACUAAACUAGAAAUCAGAGUUACAGAGGCUUUGAACAGAUUUUAACAUACCAAAUUAUAGGGGACAAUGCGAUUUAAAGAAGUCCCUAAUGGAGGGAGUGAUGAAAACUGCAACAUCAAUAAGAAUGCAUACCUCAAAGGUCUCCAUUGAUUGUUAGCUGAUUAUUGCCAGUUGAGAAUGUGGACUCAGUAUUCCUGCACUUUCUAAUUUUUCAAAAAAAGGCAUAAAUUUGAAUUUUAAUGUGUGAUAUGAGUUUUACAUUUUUCAUCCAGGUUUGAAAGAAUAAAUUCAUACCAUACAAAACACAUCUAUGGAUUGAUAUGACCCAUGGGAUCAAUUUGUCACAGACCUGGUUUAGGGCCACUGGAAAGUCUAGAAGAUACCUAAUACUCCAAAUUUUAUAGGUCAAUAGAUCAAUUGCUCUGCUCCUUAUCCUAACUGCACUCUUCCCCCAUUUUUCAUUCACUGUAAUUAUAUGGCACUUACUGGUACCUAAUCCCCAGAAUUUAUUCAGUGUUUUGUGUUUUCAGCAAAGUAUGAAUGUGGGUAUUUCUAGUAAUUAGUUCAUUUCUACCAGAAGGAGAACACUUGCUUCUCAAGUGAGUGGAACAUCAGCAUCCUACCUUACUGUUAGAAGGCAUCAUCAGCCACCAUAAAUAUUUCCAUUUCUGAAACAAAUGAUAUGUUUGUAGGAUGUACUCAUUCAAAAGGUUUAAGAUUGAAAUGUCUUAUUUGUUACCUGAACUGUGCA